GUAGCAUGUUUAUUAUCAGGAGGAGUAGAAGGUUAGAAUUGUCAAAAGUCAACGUACGAAUGUAUGAGUUUUAUAAAGCUGUAUAUUAUUAAUUAAAUAUAAGUCUUCCAUGGCGGUUUUACAUCGCGCCUUGCUCACGUGGUUCAAUUUGCUUAUAUUCUUAAUUUUAUUGGUCUUGAGGCUUGACCAAAGAAUACAAUGGAAUUGGGUUAUAGUUUUCAUUCCAAUGUGGUUCUACGACAAUAUUCUUCUUAUUUAUAUUAUUUUUAACAUGAUUUCUCACUGCAAGAACGGGCGUAUCAACAGUUUGCAACGAGAAGCAUGUGAAUUCAAUUGCAUAGAAGAAAUAGAAACAAGUCAACUGAGAAAGACAAGAGAGAGAAAAAAUUGCUUUUACGAUUACAUAACAUUCACUCAAAAAAACAUUUUUGUGUACUGUGUAAUUAAUGUGACAAUUAUCUGUGAACAAACUGGUUUUGCAGCAAUUGUGAAAAAAAGGUAAACAUUAAGUGUGACCAUGUGGCUUUUUGUACUUUUUUAUUCAUUAUUUAUAUUACAAAAAUCCGAAACUGCAAAUGACUUAGUAACAGUGAAAGAAGUGAUAGCUGGACACUUGGCUGAGCUUCCUUGCUUAAGUAUUGAUGACCAUCAUCGUUUCAUGUUCUGGCAAUUUGGAACUAACAAUGUUAUUGGCCCAGGAAAUCCUUUAAAUGAAAAGAAAUAUAAUUAUGAAGUAUUAACUGGCACGCUUCAAAUCAGAGGUGUAUCGACAGCAGAAUCUGGGUUUUAUAAAUGUUUUUCAAAAGGCCUAUUUGAUGAUUCUCAAUUAAAAGUUAAUUCUGUUGAAUUAAUAGUCACAAACGAUUGGGAGCAACUUUGGGAAAAUGAUUUUGAGACAAAUCUGUUACGGGGAAUGACUGCUGUUAUGGUAUUGGUGGUUGCAGUAGCUGUUGUUCUUCUAAUUAUUACUGUUAAGAGAAAAAGAAGUCAAAGAUUCUUUGAUCUGGACGAAUCGAGAGAAAAUUCUCCGGUACACUAUACAUCAGAUAAUACACCUGGUGUUUCAUCAAGCAUCGAAAACGUUGGAAUGGAUAACGCUGUUCUCGAUAUCGAUUUCCCUAAAGUGUUUAAACAAAUGCAAAAAGAACAAGCGAUGCCAUAAGUAGUAAUUGUAUUAUAACACAAAUUACAUUAUAUUUUAGUGUUUUCUUUUAUCCUUAAAUGUAUAUUUUGUGAUAGAUAUAUCGAUAUCUUUCUUUUAUGCAAAUAAUAGUUUAGUUCAUUUUUGCAAUACAUGUAAAUAUACUUUAAAAACAUAUCUUGUGAAUAUUAACUCUAUAUAUUCAAAAUAAAUGAGUUUAAAAUUAAUUUUGAG